GGGGAUAUGGCUCAGUGGUAGAGCGCUUGCCUAGGAAGCUCAAGGUCCUGGGUUCGAUCCCCAGCCCCCCCA
rfam:Rattus norvegicus chromosome 1, whole genome shotgun sequence.